ACAAGGAUGUUGCCCAGGGGACGCCUGGGUGUUUUACCAUCCUGUGGGAGGCUUUCUCUCUGUGGGAGCUGACAGACAGGAGUUCUGUUGGCACCAGGGUUUCCCCCAUUGCGACACCCGUGAACCGUGAGAAACCGGGGAGACCAGGAACGGGCUGCAAGCAUUCCUCUGAGCCAGAAAUCUAUGUUUUGUGGAGAAAAGAAAUCCCGCCAGAGGCAUUUUGCAUUUUGCAAUCUGUGGAUGCCACCUUGAUGCUGCUCCCAUCAAGGGCUCUUUCAUCGAGCAGCGCCUGUCUUAUGCCACUGGAAUAUUAGCACCGCAUUUUGCUUCAUCAACAUUCUGCAAAUAUUCAUCUCCGGUUAUUUAAAUUAUUGAUUACACAACAAUAUCAAAUCAACUUGUGGUUUUAUGAGCCGAAACCCGGGUUUUGAUGAGCAGGUGAACGCAUUGGCCAUUUCUACGGGGAGGGCAAUGCAGACUUAAGGCAGGAAGCCCUGCUCGAUUAGUCCAUCUGCCGCAGCCAUGGGGCGUGAAGGGCAACUUCUGCCCGGGAGGCAACGGAGCAGGUUUCUUCUCUACCAAGAAAGUAAUGGAGCAGCUCUGGAAUAUUUUAUUUAAAGACCCUAAAAAUCCGUUACCUAGAUGACCCUUACUCAAAAAUCUUGUUUUUCCAUGAAAGUUUCAACAGAACAUGUUCUGCCUGACAUAAGGUCAUGCAAACUACAGUAAUGAUUUGGCUGCUGGAUGAUGCAUACGUGGGAUGAACUAUGAACAUGUCACCUGAGGAUAGUGCAUACGUGGAGCAAACUAUGGACACUUCACCUGAUGUGAUGAGUAAUGAGUUAUAUAAGUUACCAGGCAACUACGCAUGUCCAAAAGGAUUGUAAUAGUCAGCAAAUUCCAUUGUCAGUUAGCUUUCUGUGCAUGCUUCUGUAAAAUUGUAUAAAUUGGAAAGCCACUACAGGCAAGAUGUGGCAUUGCGUUUUUUGGGCAUUAGCGAACAUUGUCACCUGCUCUUGGACAACUUCUGCUGUCAGUCUGCUUUCUUCACCCGCGUCCAAACGAAAUUCCACAACAAAAGGAAAUCCCUCCUGGCACCACAAAUGGCCCUUCGAUGGCCAAGAGGACCAACCUCACUCCAAUAUGAAGGGCAAUGGAUGUUCCUCUCCAUGUCUGCUUGA
rnacentral:lncRNA from 1 species